CAGAAACGAGGAGAGAGAGACAGAAACGAGGAGAGAGAGAGAGAGACAGAAACGAGGAGAGAGAGACAGAAACGAGGAGAGGGAGACAGAAACGAGGAGAGAGAGGGAGACAGAAACGAGGAGAGGGAGACAGAAACGAGGAGAGGGAGACAGAAAUGAGGAGAGAGAGGGAGACAGAAACAAGGAGAGAGAGACAGAAACGAGGAGAGAGAGACAGAAACGAGGAGAGAGAGGGAGACAGAAACGAGGAGAGGGAGACAGAACGAGGAGAGGGAGACAGAAAUGAGGAGAGAGAGGGAGACAGAAACGAGGAGAGGGAGACAGAAACGAGGAGAGAGAGAGACAGAAACGAGGAGAGAGAGACAGAAACGAGGAGAGGGAGACAGAAACGAGGAGGAGAGGGAGACAGAAACGAGGAGAGGGAGACAGAAACGAGGAGAGGGAGACAGAAAUGAGGAGAGAGAGGGAGACAGAAACAAGGAGAGAGAGACAGAAACGAGGAGAGAGACAGAAACGAGGAGAGAGAGACAGAAACGAGGAGAGAGAGAGAGAGACAGAAACGAGGAGAGAGAGACAGAAACGAGGAGAGAGAGAGAGAGAGACAGAAACGAGGAGAGAGAAAGAAACGAGGAGAGAGAGAGAGAGAGACAGAAACGAGGAGAGAGAGAGACAGAAACGAGGAGAGAGAGAGAGAGAGAGAAAGAAACGAGGAGAGAGAGAGAAACGAGGAGAGAGAAAGAGAGAGAGAGAGAGAGAGAGAGAGAGAGACAGAAACGAGGAGAGAGAGACAGAAACAGGAGAGACUGCUGGACAGAAGAGAGGAGAGAGAGACAGCAAGUAAGAGAGAUGGACAGAACGAGACAGGCAGAGAAAAGGAGUGAGACGUGAAGAGAAAUAAAUGGAGACGGACAGAGGAGAAGAAAGAAAGAGGGACAGUAAAUAAGAGAGACGGCUGUAAUAGAAGAGUCAGCCUCAGUGAAGGAGGCGUGGCCUCUGUGUCUGUUUUUGUGAAGGGGGUGUGGGAUCUGUGUCAGUUUUGGUGAAAGAGGCGUGGCCUAUUUUUUGUGUUUUGUUAAUUGUUUCCUUACACACACACACACAGACACAUGGUUUAAGGUUCUAGCUUGGCUGCAGCUCUAAUGGAAGGAAAAAUGUUGAUCUGGCAACCUAUUGAACAGGAACUAGAGUCAAUCUGGCAACCCUGAUCAAUAUACAUAUUUUAUAACAUGCUUCUUAAAAAAGGUAAAAUAAUAAUAAGCAAUAAUUGUAGAGCGCUUUUCUGACACAUGCUGAGCAGUCAAUAAUAAACAACCUAAAUUUAAAAAAGAAUAAUUUUCAUAAUAUUAAUAUAAGAUGUCACUGAAUCCAGAAAUUUCUACAUUUUUACUGGAGGGAUAUAAUCUAAUCUGGCCACCCUGACUACUUCUUUCACUGUAUGUACUGUGUGUACAUGUUUAAUCAGAAACUCUUUCAAUUGUUUGUUUAUUCAUUUCAUUCUUUUAAUCAAUUUUAUUGAUAUAAACCCUUUAGCAUUUUGCUGACUAAAUCUGGCAACCCUUGUAGUGACAUCACACUCUCUCUCGGCUCUCUCUCGCUCUCUCUCUCUCGCGCUGCCGUUUACAGCUCGGUGUUCAGCUCCGAGGUCGUGUUGUUCUUUACGCUGUGUCUGAUUACACACGAUUAAUUACCGCAAUUCGUUUGCGUUGCGUUUAAUUACGCUGAUUUAAAUCUGCUGCUGCUGUUCUUCUUGUUUUCUCUGCGUGAUUGUAAAAGACAAACCUCUGUGCUUCACUUCCUCAGUGUUGGAGGAACACACACACACACACUCAUACAUACACACACAUGCACAUACUUCAAACUGUACAUGUUAGAGCGCUUUUUAUAGGAAAUACACAGAAAUCCCCUGGCAUCUGGGGACUACAUGGAAUCAUUAUAUCUCUGAUCAUGAUGGAUCUGACUCGCUCCAUUUACAGUCAUCAUCCGUUCAUCCAUCCCGCCAUCCAUCUAUCAGUCCAUCCAUCCACCCCUCCAUUCAUUUAUUCAUAACUCAAUCCAUUCAUCCACCCAUCCAUCCAUCAGUCUGUCCAUCCACCCAUCCCUCCAUUCAUUUAUCCGUCCAUUCGUCGGGGGUUCAGGCCCCAGCACUGCCAAGCUGCCUCUGUUGGGCCCUUGAGCAAGGCCCUUAACCCUCUCUGCUCCAGGGGGCGCUGUUUCAUGGCUGACCCUGUACUCUGACCCCAACUUCCUGACAUGCUGGGGUAUGCGAAAUAAAGCAUUUCACUGUGCUGUAAUGUAUGUGUGAUAAAUAAAGACUCGUUAUCAUUAUCUAUCCAUCCAUCAGUCCAUCAGUCCAUCUAUCUGACUCUCCCUGAUGUUGCUUAUUGACAAAGUAUGUACUUUAGUCCUUCAACCAAUCUGGCAACCCGGGCCAUUCAAAUCUAUGUAUUUACAUGUAAAGAUCAGACAAUUCUGAUUAUCUGACUGAACUUAAUCCAAUCUGGCAACCCUGAUCACUUCACAUCCAUUAAUCUCCGAGUCGUUCUGCACUUUCCAGUCUGAUCGUGAUAUAAAAUACACCUGGAG
ensembl:lncRNA